AGAGUCUGGGUUUUACUUUAACAUGAGGCAUUUUGAUGAAAUGGUGGGGAAUGGAGAAUGGGAUGAAGUGGAAAAGUACUUAUCUGGGUUCACUAAGGUUGAUGAUAAUAGAUACUCCAUGAAAAUUUUCUUCGAGAUCCGAAAGCAAAAGUAUCUUGAAGCUCUGGAUAGGAAUGACCGUCCUAAAGCUGUUGAGAUCCUAGUUAAGGACUUGAAGGUGUUUUCGGCGUUUAAUGAAGAGCUUUUCAAA
rnacentral:misc_RNA from 1 species